GAUGAACGCUGGCGGCGUGCCUAAUACAUGCAAGUCGUACGGAAAGGCCCUUCGGGGUACUCGAGUGGCGGACGGCUGAGUAACGCGUGGGAACGUGCCCCAAAGUGAGGGAUAACGCACCGAAAGGUGUGCUAAUACCGCAUAUGGUCUUCGGAUUAAAGCUUCGGCGCUUUGGGAGCGGCCCGCGUACGAUUAGAUAGAUGGUGAGGUAAUGGCUCACCAAGUCGACGAUCGUUAGCUGGUCUGAGAGGAUGAUCAACCAGACUGGGACUGAGACACGGCCCAGACUCCUACGGGAGGCAGCAGUAAGGAAUCUUCCACAAUGGGGGCAACCCUGAUGGAGCAACGCCGCGUGCAGGAUGAAGGUUUUCGGAUCGUAAACUGCUUUUAUAAGUGAAGAAUAUGACGGUAACUUAUGAAUAAGGAUCGGCUAACUACGUGCCAGCAGCCGCCGUAACAC
rnacentral:rRNA from 1 species